UAUUAGUUCAAAUUUUAUUCAAUGUUUUCUUACUAUCUAGAAAACAAUAUUAGUUCUCUUUUGUUAUUAGGAGGUGGGAUCAUCCACACAACUUUCAUUAUUUUCACAAUUGAGAAAGUAUAACUCAUUGUUUUCUCGUUUGGCUGAUUAAGUAAUCCUCACUUUAAUGUUGGUUCUCUCGUUUUAGUUUUCCAACCAUUGGGUGAUGAUUAUUAGAUUUUUGCUGUUUCCUAUGGAAGGUUUUAUUAGAUCUCUUAAUUUUUAUUUGGGUUAAUUUUUUAC
rnacentral:lncRNA from 1 species